rnacentral:lncRNA from 1 species
AUCCUCUCAAGACUAGCUAAUCACUGAAUCAACCUUGAUUCAGUCCUCUCAAGAUCUGACCAACCUUGGUCUCUUAAGGAAUUACAAUAAGAUUGUAGUAGGUUUGUGUUUACAAAUGAAUGCUUCUGAUAAGCAGGGUAAACUUAGAAUUGUAAGCGUAUGAAGAAUAUUGCUUGGGAGCUUUGUAAGUAUGUUUGCUAAAUUCGUGCAAUGCUUCUUACUUUCUUCAUCUUGAUGCAGCGUUCUUAUACUUCUGGAUUCGAAGAAUGUUACCGUUGUAGGAUCUGCUUUUGCAGAGACCGGUUGUAGUGGAAUACAGAGAAUAAGGAAUAUUGUGCUGCCCGAGGUAGGUGUGCCAUCGAGAAUAAACAUCCAUGUCCAGGAUAUUCUAUU